UUGCGCGGGAUGCUUUUCCCCUCUCACUCUCGAAAAAAAUUCAUUCUUUGAAAAAGAAUUAAAAAUUUCUAUACUGAACUUUCAUUCCCAAACCUCUCCCUUUUCCUCUUCGCGAACCUUCAUUCUCGCACCUCUUCUGCACUGAACUUCUUCACUGUCAGUCCCGCACCUCUUCUGUUCUCCCUCUCUGUCUUCGACUUCUUUCUUCCGCAUCAGUGUUUGGUCGUGUGUUUUGCCAUCGCGAGUUGUGUGGAUUCAGAUUUCAUCUGUCGAACGCGGUUGGUUUCUUCGAACUGGAAGCUCGAGUUGUGGUUGCUUCUUGCUCGUUGUUUGAAAUUGCAAUUUUGGAAAGCCUAGGUUGGUUUCUUGGAAGUGGAAGAGAUAAGCUCGUGCUGCAAUUGCCUUCUGCACUUGCCUCUUCAAACCAAGUUUUAAGUACUAAACUUAGCUGAAGAUCUUGGCAGGAGAUUGUUAGCUGUAUUCGAUACUCCUAGAGGUAUUACUCAAUCUUGUAU